GAUGAAGAACGCAGCGAAAUGCGAUACGUAAUGUGAAUUGCAGAAUUCAGUGAAUCAUCGAGUCUUUGAACGCACAUUGCACCCCCUGGUAUUCCGGGGGGCAUGCCUGUCCGAGCGUCAUUGCUGCCCUCAAGCACGGCUUGUGUGUUGGGCCUCCGUCCUCCUCCCGGGGGACGGGCCCGAAAGGCAGCGGCGGCACCGCGUCCGGUCCUCGAGCGUAUGGGGCUUCGUCACCCGCUCUUGUAGGCCCGGCCGGCGCUUGCCGACACAUCAAUCUUUUUUCCAGGUUGACCUCGGAUCAGGUAGGGAUACCCGCUGAACUUAAGCAUAUCAAUAAGCGGAGGA
rnacentral:misc_RNA from 1 species